GUAGAGACAGGUGGAGAAGUGGAGAGGUAGAGACAGGUGGAGAAGUAGAGAGGUAGAGACAGGUGGAGAGGUAGAGACAGGUGGAGAAGUAGAGAGGUAGAGACAGGUGGAGAAGUAGAGAGGUAGAGACAGGUGGAGAGGUAGAGAGGUAGAGACAGGUGGAGAAGUAGAGAGGUAGAGACAGGUGGAGAGGUAGAGAGGUAGAGACAGGUGGAGAAGUAGAGAGGUAGAGACAGGUGGAGAGGUAGAGAGGUAGAGACAGGUGGAGAAGUAGAGAGGUAGAGACAGGUGGAGAGGUAGAGAGGUGGAGUGGUAGAGAGGUAGAGACAGGUGGAGAGGUAGAGAGGUAGAGACAUGUGGAGAGGUAGAGAGGUGGAGAGGUAGAGAGGGUAGAGACAGGUAGAGACAGGUGGAGAAGUAGAGAGGUAGAGACAGGUAGAGAGGUAGAGAGGUGGAGAGGUAGAGAGGUAGAGACAGGUGGAGAGGUAGAGAGGUAGAGACAGGUGGAGAGGUAGAGAGGUAGAGAGGUAGAGACAUGUGUUGAGGUAGAGAGGUGGAGAGGUAGAGAGGUACAGACAGGUGGAGAGGUAGAGACAGGUGGAGAGGUAGAGAGGUACAGACAGGUGGAGAGGUAGAGAGGUGGAGAGGUAGAGAGGUAGAGACAGGUGGAGAGAUAGAGAGGUAGAGACAGGUGGAGAGGUAGAGAGGUAGAGACAGGUAGAGACAGGUGGAGAGGUGGAGAGGUAGAGAGGUAGAGACAGGUAGAGACAGGUAGAGAGGUAGACAGG
ensembl:lncRNA